CGCGUAGGUGGUUUGGUAAGUCGGAUGUGAAAGCCCCGGGCUCAACCUGGGAAUUGCAUCCGAUACUGCUUGACUAGAGUAUGGUAGAGGGUAGCGGAAUUCCGGGUGUAGCGGUGAAAUGCGUAGAUAUCCGGAGGAACAUCAGUGGCGAAGGCGGCUACCUGGACCAAUACUGACACUGAGGUGCGAAAGCGUGGGGAGCAAACA
rnacentral:rRNA from 1 species